AGAGUUUGAUCAUGGCUCAGGAUGAACGCUGGCGGCGUGCUUAACACAUGCAAGUCGAACGGUGAAGCCCCGCUUGCGGGGUGGAUCAGUGGCGAACGGGUGAGUAACACGUGAGCAACCUGCCCCUGACUCUGGGAUAAGCGCUGGGAACGGCGUCUAAUACUGGAUACGAGACGUGAUCGCAUGGUCAACGUUUGGAAAGAUUUUUCGGUUGGGGAUGGGCUCGCGGCCUAUCAGCUUGUUGGUGAGGUAAUGGCUCACCAAGGCGUCGACGGGUAGCCGGCCUGAGAGGGUGACCAGCCACACUGGGACUGAGACACGGCCCAGACUCCUACGGGAGGCAGCAGUGGGGAAUAUUGCACAUUGGGCGCAAGCCUGAUGCAGCAACGCCGCGUGAGGGAUGACGGCCUUCGGGUUGUAAACCUCUUUUAGCAGGGAAGAAGCGAGAGUGACGGUACCUGCAGAAAAAGCACCGGCUAACUACGUGCCAGCAGCCGCGGUAAUACGUAGGGUGCAAGCGUUAUCCGGAAUUAUUGGGCGUAAAGAGCUCGUAGGCGGUUUGUCGCGUCUGCUGUGAAAUCUGGGGGCUCAACCCCCAGCCAGCAGUGGGUACGGGCAGACUAGAGUGCGGUAGGGGAGAUUGGAAUUCCUGGUGGAGCGGUGGAAUGCGCAGAUAUCAGGAGGAACACCGAUGGCGAAGGCAGAUCUCUGGGCCGUAACUGACGCUGAGGAGCGAAAGGGUGGGGAGCAAACAGGCUUAGAUACCCUGGUAGUCC
rnacentral:rRNA from 1 species